AAAUAAAGGAAGAAGAAAAUUACAUUUUCAAAAGAGAUUAUUCAACUGCUUUAAAAAGGUAAUUUUUUUAAAAGAUUUUAAGCUUUUAUAAAUAGUUUUUGUAUUAUUGAUAGCUUCCCAGUAAAUUUAUACCUUAUAUAAUAUACCUAAUAUAUGAGUAAUACUCAUUGAGUAUAUGUUUUUUUUUAGGUUAAAACAUUGGUCAUAAUAGUGAAACAAAAAUAAAAAUGGGUGUACAAAAUAUACACAUUCGAUUAAUCAAGAUACAAUUAGAUUUGAUACACCUUAGGAAUUUGAAACAGCACAAAACUUCAAAUUUCUAGCUACCUGGUAUGAAACAAGCAUUCCAAGAACGUACUCUAUAGAAGCAUCAAACUAAAUAAUUUAUGAUUAUUAUAACAAUUCUACAUAACCUCUAUUUAACUAAAAUUAUUUAAUAGUGUUAAAAAAAUAUGCAGUAUACUCUAAAACAAAUUAAUAGUAUACAUUUUUAUCAUUCCUAUUUAAAAGUUAGUUUCAUAGUUUUAAUCCACUAUGGUUUUUCUAAUUUUGUUUAGUUUUUUACU